UAGCAAUCAGCAAGACUCCGUGGGCAUAGGACCCUCCAAGCCAGGUGCGGGAUAUAAUCUCGUGGUGCGCCGUUUUUUAAGCCCGUUGGAAAAGCGCAGUAUUCGGAUGGGAGUGACCCGAUUUUCCAGGUGCGUCCGUCACCCCUUUCUUUGACUCAGAAAGGGAACUCCCUGACCCCUUGCGCUUCCCGAGUGAGGCAAUGCCUCGCCCUGCUUCGGCUCGUGCACGGUGCGUGCACCCACUGACCUGCGCCCACUGUCUGGCACUUCCUAGUGAGAUGAACCCGGUACCUCAGAUGGAAAUGCAGAAAUCACCCGUCUUCUGUGUCGCUCACGCUGGGAGCUGUAGACCGGAGCUGUUCCUAUUCGGCCAUCUUGGCUCCAAAAACCAAGAGAUUCUUACAUUAUUCAGUAGUUGCACUGGAUAAAAAUAAAGAGGUUUAGACCAUGUCUGAGAAGCUCCUUCCUCUUGGCCCUAAUCUGAUGACUGUGAAUCAGUUCAGAUACCAAGGUUUGACUUUUGACUCCACUGCUUAUUAACUGGAUAGCCUUGGAAAUCCAGGAGCUUCUCAGGUGCAGGAAGUGAAUCUCUCACACCAAGCAAA
rnacentral:lncRNA from 1 species